rnacentral:lncRNA from 1 species
AACCACAACAUUUGGGCUAUAAAGCAAUUAACCUCAACUUUUGGGCUAUAUUGCAAAACUUUUGGGGUCACUUUGUAAAGACACAAAAGUCCACUACUUCAUGUAAUUACACUAGAACCCAAAAUUUAAUCAAUUCAAAAACUUCAUUAAAGGAGCAAAACAAUUUGUCCUUUAGCGUUUUUGGACCUAAACGUAAAAACGUAAACUUUUGGGCCAAAGUGCAAAUAUACAAAAGUAUCAAAACUUUAUGUAAUUGCAUAAAAGACCCAAAAACACUCCCUUUGAGGGAGGGCCGGUUUUAGAGAGGAGUCCACAAAAAUUUUUGAAAAAAUUUCAACCAAGUCAUAAAGCCAUGCAAGUGGAAAUAGUUUGGUGUGAACAAAGCCUUGCAAGUGGUGUGUGUGUGAGAGAAGUACUUCUUACACACCCAUCACCAUUUCUAUCACCUUUCAAAAUUUCAAUAAAUGUUUUUGAUAGAUAAGUCACACCCACCAACACAAAACAAAGACUUUAUGAAAUUAAUCAAAACUUUGAAUCAAAACACAAACCUUUUUGUUCUUGGCAAAAAUGUCAAGAACAAUGAAGAACAUUCAUGAAAAACCCAAAAUUUUUCCAUGAACAUUUUUCACCCAAAAACAUUCCAAAACCAUUUAAACUUAAGGGAAAUAACAUCUAACCAAACUAGGGUACAUAGGGGUUCCAAAAGUCACCUUAAAACACUUUUAACAAGUCAAACAAGAACCCAAAAAAUCACCCUUUGUAUUUGGCCGAAAAUUCCCAAAAGCAUGGCACCAAAUUUUAGCUCCAAUAUUCAUGCUCAUAUGAACUACAUCUACAACAUUUGAGAUGGCAAAUUUCCUAGCAAAAUUUACAUUCAAAAACAAGAAUAAAGCUUGUAACAUAUUACAACUUUUAAAUCACAAACUAUGAACUACAAAACCCAAAAGGAUUCACCAACUACUAGGCCUAGGCUCUGAUACCACUUGAAGGUAUAUUUUGUGAAAACAUGUUCAUUUGAAUAACAUCUAUAGCAUGCUAAUAACAAUUAAAAGGCGGAAUCAUGCUUGCAUGCAUUCAAAAACAAAACAUUAACCAAGAAAUUCAAAGCCUAGUAGAUUGGUGAACCAAAACUCAACUCAAAACAAAGUGAGUUGAGAUUUAUACCUUUGUAGAUUCCUCUUUGCAUAAGCAAAGGCUAAUCAC